rnacentral:lncRNA from 1 species
CCCUAUGAUCGACUACGUCACCGACGACACUUCUUCCCUUUCAAUGGAGCUUCCUGGCAAGCCCCCCUUUGAUCAUCCCGAUAUCGCCCAUUAUAUUCUCUCAUGCUUGCAUUAGAUUUUGCUACUGUAAUUGAUUGCUCCUAUUCUGAUGCAUAGCCUGCUUUUGUACCUGCUGUUGUACCUUACCUGCAUACCCUAAACUGCUUAGUACAGGUUGGUUAAUGAUCCAUCAGUGACCCCCACCUUUGUUGGAGAAUGUUGCAGAAAAUAAAAAAAAUCUACGCUUCACCAAGAUCAACCUAUGGAGUCAUCUAGCAAUGAGAGAGAGGAGUGCAUCUACAUACCCUUGUAGAUCGUGAGCGGAAGCGUUCAAGAGAACGGGGUUAAGGGAGUCGUACUCGUCGUGAUCCAAAUCACCGAAGAUCCUAGCGCGAAACGGACGGCACCUCCGCAUUCAACACACGUACAGAGCGGAGACGUCUCCCGCGCCUUGAUCCAGCAAGGAGGAGGGAGAGGUUGAGGAAGAGAUCUCCAGCAGCAGCACGACGGCGUGGUGGUGAUGGAGAGGCAGUACUCCGGCAGGGCUUCGCCAAGCGUCUGCGAAGGAGGAGAGGUGUUGGGGAGGGGAGGGGCUGCGCCUUGGAGGUGUGUAUGCAACCCUCCACUCGCCCCUCUAUUUAUAGGGGGAGGAAGGGGGCCGGCCCCCUCUAGAUGAGAUCUAGAGGGGGUGCGGCGGCCAAGGGGGGACUUGCCCCCCAAGCAAGGGGGGCGCCCCCCUUAGGGUUUCCCCCCCAACCCUAGGCGCAUGGGCCCAAGGGGUGGAUGCGCCCAACCCACUAGGGGCUGGUUCCCUUCCCUCCACGGCCCAUGAGGCCCUCCGGGAGAGGUGGACCCCCAGAACCCAUCCGGUGGCCCUGGUACAAUACCGGUAUUACCCCGAAACUUUCCGAUGAUCGUAUUACAACUAUCUUCACCUCCGAACCAUUCCGGAACUCCUCGUGACGUCCGAGAUCUCAUCCGGGACUCCGAACAACAUUCGGUAAUCACAUACAAGUCUUCCUAAUAACCCUAGUGUCACCGAACCUUAAGUGUGUAGACCCUACCGGUUCGGGAAUCAUGUAGACAUGACCGAGACAGCUCUUCGGCCAAUAACCAACAGCGGGAUCUGGAUACUCAUGUUGGUUCCCACAUGUUCCAUGAUGAUCUCAUCGGAUGAACCACAAUGUCGAGGAUUCAAGUAAUCCUGUAUACAAUUCACUUUGUCAAUCGGUACGUUACUUGCCCGAGAUUCGAUCGUCGGUAUCCCAAUACCUCGUUCAAUCUCGUUACCGGCAAGUCACUUUACUUGUUACGUAAUGCAUGAUCCCGUGACCAACCACUUGGUCACAUUGAGCUCAUUAUGAUGAUGCAUUACCGAGUGGGCCCAGAGAUACCUCUCCGUCAUACGGAGUGACAAAAUCCCAGUCUCGAUCCGUGUCAACCCAACACACACUUUCAGAGAUACCUGUAGUAUACCUUUAUAGCCACCCAGUUAUGUUGUGACGUUUGGUACACCUAAAGCACUCCUACGGUAUGCGGGAGUUACACGAUCUCAUGGUCUAAAGAAAUGAUACUUGACAUUAGAAAAGCUCUAGCAAACGAACUACACGAUCUUGUGCUAUGCUUAGGAUUGGGUCUUGUCCAUCACAUCAUUCUCCUAAUGAUGUGAUCCCGUUAUCAAUGACAUCCAAUAUCCAUAGUCAGGAAACCAUGACUAUCUGUUGAUCAACGAGCUAGUCAACUAGAGGCUCACUAGGGACAUGUUGUGGUCUAUGUAUUCACACAUGUAUUACGAUUUCCGGAUAACACAAUUAUAGCAUGAACAAUAGACAAUUAUCAUGAACAAGGAAAUAUAAUAAUAAUAACCAUUUUAUUAUUGCCUCUAGGGCAUAUUUCCAACAACCUUGUCUUUGUUGCCCCUGCUUCAUCAUCGACGACUCGAUCAACAUGAUCGACGACCAGAGCCCGACACGUCACAUCACGUCAUGCCCCUUUUGUUGCUCGAUUCUGCAGAGCUACUAUCGAGUGCCGAGGGUGAUACCUCGUAACACACUCCUGAUGAUAAUUCUGUAGUGUAGCUAUUCGGUUGUGAUCAUCGAGGGUGAUUCCUCCUUGACCACUCCCGAUACGACUCUAUCAUGCAACCCCUCAAGUGUGAACCUCGAGGGUGGUUCCUCUUACGUUCACCUUGAUGAUUACAUCGAGUGGAAUCCACCAAGGGUGAUUCCUCGAGUUUUCCCCUUGAUUUUUGGACACACGGUUACCCGGACUUUACUUGAGACCAUUGUUGAAGUCAGGUCGGCCCUGAGGGGAACCCGCGAGUUGAUGUGAAAGUCGGCCGGGCCCGGAGAGCACCCACGAGUUUUCCACGUGGCACGGCCGAGCAGUCUGGGCCCUUGCCGUAAGUCCACGGGACAUGGCGACGGGGUCACAUUAGCAUGAGUCUCUGCUCAUUUUCGCGAGCCCCCAAUGCACUAAUGGUUUGGGUAUUUGUUCUGAGUUGGCCUUUGGCCUUUACGCACUAACCACCACGCCAGAAUAGUUAUGGGCCUCGACGUUGCAGUAUCAACCGAAGCUUUGUCAGACGUCCAGUUCAAUAUUGUGGUCGGGCCAGAUCACGCCAUCCAGGUAGAGGUGGUGCUAGUACCCCCUUGCGCACAACGACCCGGAGUGUUGCGGGCAAUGGACCCAGACCCCGGAGUGCUUAGGAUGUAGACCGGUGGGGACCUCUCUGCUGAGCCUAGGUAGGACUAUGACGUGUUGAUCUUCCGAGGCCUGGCAUUGACCCAGUAAAGUGUGUCCGGCCAGAGUAAUCAAACGUGUUGGGUAACAUGGUGCACCCCUACAGGGAAGAUAUAUAUUCGAAUACCGUGUCCGCGGUAAUGGACGUUCAGACUUAUAUCCUAAUCUUAUAUAACUCGAAAUGGAUACUUGAGAUAUGUGAUGGAUAUGUGGCUCCAAGAUUGCUUUUCCGCAGGAAGUCAGGGAAGGAUCUCUGGGCGUUGGUUCUACAACAUGUUUGUUAAAUAUUAAAAUGCUAUUCUUUACUCUUCUACCUGCUGCAAGAUGCUUGUAGUUGCUUGGAGAUGCUAGUCUUUGAUAGGCUAGGCCUUCCCCCUCUAUUCUGGCAUUCUGCAGUUCAGUCCACAGAUACAAACCUUCCAUUUGAUACCAAUGCAUACUUAGUAUAGAUCUGAUGCUUGCGAGUACUUUGGAUGAGUACUCACGGUUGCUUUGCUACCUCUUUCCCCCCUUCUUUCUUCUUUUCGGUUGAUGCAACCAGAUGGUGGAUCCCAGGAGCCAGAUGCUACCCCCAACAGCUUAUACUACUACCCCAAUGGUGCUAGCUACUAUGUGGAGACCGCCGACGACCAGGAGUAGUUAGGAGGUCCCAGGCAGGAGGCCUUGCCUCUUCGAUCGUGUUGCUUUUGUGCUAGCCUUCUUAAGGCAUCCUUGUUUAACUUAUGUUUGUACUCAGAUAUUGUUGCUUCCACUGACUCUUGUGUAUCAAGCUUGUAUUCGAGCCCCCAAGGCCCUGCUUGUAAUAUAAAGCUUGUAUUAUUUUAUUUGUGUCUAGAGUUGUGUUGUGAUA